rnacentral:lncRNA from 1 species
AAAGAAUCACUUUUUCUAAGUAUGUCGGAGUGAUUGAGCAGAGAGAAAAAUGAAUACCCUAAGCGAACUAGAAAUCUGGAAAGAACCGAAAUAGAGGCAGUGUCUCAUGACACUUUACUUGAGGACUCACCUGAUGAACUGCUGAUCAACUCUAUAAUUUUUCUUUCUAGGAUUCCUUCACCUAACCAGAACUGACUUCAUCAGAGAGUUAUGAUGGUUAACUCUAUCAGUCUUCUACCUGAAUGCCCCAAGAUAUUGAUGAAGUCAACAAAAACAUUGAGCCUCAGAACACAAGAAAUCUUGGACAAACUGGGAGACAGCUUGUCAGUAUCUAAGGUCUCUGUCUUGUCCUGGAGAUGUCCCCCAUCUCCUCAUCCCCAUCAGCUGAGGAUUUCCAUUUGUUUACAUGGCCCUCCAGGAUCUCUCCUGCACUUCCCCAGACUUGAUCCUGAAGCCUCCAUUUCCCUCCCUAUAGGGAAUGCAUCUGGAAAAGAGACUACCAGCAGAAGAGCAUAAAGGGGCGUGGAAGCCUAAACUGAACGAAGACCAAAGUGUGGACACUUUGCCCCUUCUUAGAAUUUGAAACAAUCACCCAUGGAAGGAGU